rnacentral:rRNA from 1 species
AACGUAGGUGGCGAGCGUUAUCCGGAUUUACUGGGCGUAAAGGGUGUGCAGGCGGGUGAACAAGUGGGGUGUGAAAGGGUUCGGCUCAACCGAGAUAGGUUAUGCCAGACUGUUUACCUAGAGUGUGAGAGAGGGACGUGGAAUUCCGGGUGUAGUGGUGAAAUGCGUAGAUAUUCGCAAGAACACCAGUGGCGAAGGCGGCUCACCGGCCCGGUACUGACGCUGAGGCACGAAAGCGUGGGGAGCAAACAGG